rnacentral:ncRNA from 1 species
CUCGCCGCCGGACCGAAGGUCGAGUCGACGUCACGUCGACCGCACCGCCGGACCGGGACGAGACGAAAUGUGGCCGCAUGCACGGCUGAAUCGCAAA